rnacentral:rRNA from 1 species
GACGGAGGAUGCAAGCGUUUAUCCGGAAUGAUUGGGCGUAAAGCGUCCGCAGGUGGCAGUUCAAGUCUGCUGUCAAAGACCGGGGCUUAACCCCAGAAAGGCAGUGGAAACUGAAGUGCUAGAGUGCAGUAGGGGUAGAGGGAAUUCCUGGUGUAGCGGUGAAAUGCGUAGAGAUCAGGAAGAACACCGGUGGCGAAAGCGCUCUGCUAGGCCGCAACUGACACUCAUGGACGAAAGCUAGGGGAGCGGAUGGG